rnacentral:rRNA from 1 species
UACGGGGGGAGCAAGCGUUGUUCGGAUUUACUGGGCGUAAAGGGCGCGUAGGCGGCGCUGUAAGUCACUUGUGAAAUCUCUGAGCUUAACUCAGAACGGCCAAGUGAUACUGCAGUGCUAGAGUGCAGAAGGGGCAAUCGGAAUUCUUGGUGUAGCGGUGAAAUGCGUAGAUAUCAAGAGGAACACCUGAGGUGAAGACGGGUUGCUAGGCUGACACUGACGCUGAGGCGCGAAAGCUAGGGGAGCAAACGGG